GCACUUGUAGCUCAACUUUAGAGCAUCGGUCUUGUAAACCGAAGGCUGGAGGUUAAAUUCCCCCCUUUUGCU
rnacentral:tRNA from 1 species